GUUUUAUUAGGGCCUAGGACCGGAAGUGCUCGGGCGUCUUGUGGCAAUACUGGGAAAUGUCGGCAGUCAAGCUUUCAGAAGACGGGGUUCGCUGAGGAGUAUUUAGGAACAUCUCACUUAUCUAGAAGAAAUCCCUUAUAUGGGAACAUCAACUACUUGGAAAUGUUCCAAUAAGGCAGAACACUCUUGAUAAGCAAGUAAGUCUCUGAGUAGCUAAAGCAGAUGUCAUUAUUUCAUACCUUUUAUUCACAACUGAGUCCUUUAAGUCCACAUCCAAAUUAUUCCCAAGGACAGAUUAACUGAACCUCAAGCUCAUAGACAAAAUAGGGGAAGCAGAAAAAAUGGGUGCCGUAUUAUUGUUUUUAGUGCCCCAGAAUCGCGAUAUAGAGAAAACUAAAGGUCUCAGCAGAGGUGAAGAAAACAGAAAUGGUUAUGAAGAAUUCAUCCUAGAGGCAUACAGAGUGCUCUCAAUAUUAGUAAAAAUAAAUCUUAACAGAUUAAAAAUUUACAUGUCUGACUUAAAUUAUUGUGAACUACAAUUAAGAAAGCUAACUUUUCAAAAAAAAAUAAAACUAACUUUUCACCUAUUAUUCUUAAUUUAUGAAAAAUUGACUGUAUUUUCAUUAACAGAUCAGGGCAUUUCUUUUCCUCAAUUCAAGAAAGGAUGUAAUAGCAAAAUAAUACAUGGGAAGAAGAAAGAAAAUGCUAUGAUCCUUAAAUGAAGUACAUUAAGGAGAAUUCUGAUCAAUGUGCAGGAUUUUAGAGUAUUAAUAAAAACAGACAAAAAGAUGAACUCUACAAAAGGGAAAAAUGGUCUUGAAAUCUGACAAAAAACAAAAUCCAUUCUUAAUAUGCACAAAUACACAGAAAAUCUAGGGCAGAUCUCCAAUUAUGGUUGGAAAAAACAUAUGCCAUUAAAAAUAACUUAUAAUAGUAUACAUAUAAAAAGAUAAAAUCUCUAUGUAAUGGAAUAUAAUCAUGUUCACUUAAAAUUCCUGCAUCUAUAGUACACCAAGAGUGAAUAUAAUGCCAGGGUCACAUAACUCUUUCAUAAAUUGUCAAAAAUCUGUAUUAAUGUUACUGAAUGUACAGUACACUCUUCUGUUCAACUGCCACAGAUACCCCCAAGCCUAGAAAAAUUCUUUAUUAGCCAUGUGCUUUAUCAAUCUAAAAAUAGGUACACAUAUAGUUCAAAAUUCAUCAAUCUGAAUUGGUUUUAUCUGUAAGCUAAAAAGCUAACCAUAAUACAUGUUUUUAAUGGAAAUAAAGAAUUUAGGAAAGAGGACUCCAAACAUACAUAUGUGUUUAAUAUAAGGCUAUUAAAAAGAUGCAAAACCUCUAAAGAGUUUAAAAUGUGAAAAGUGUAGAGCAUUUAAAAUUAUUCUUUUAUGCUUUCAUUUAAAAAAAAGUUUACACUGAUCCCUACAACAGAACUUUAGAACAAAACCUCAGAUUAUUUUUGAUCAUUAAGUAUAAGUUAUGACUAAGAAACUAUAUAUAAUAUUUAGUUUUUCAUUUUUUUAAAGUUUAUUUAUUAUUUUUGAGAGAGAGUGUGAGCAAGGGAAGGGCAGAGAGAGAGAGGAAGACACAGAAUGUGAAGCAUGCUCGUCUUCAAGCUGUCAACACAGAGCCCAACGUGGGAUUUGGACCCACAAACCGUGAGAUCAUGACCCGAGCUGAAGUCAGAUGCUCAACUGACUGAGCUACCCAGGCGCCCCUAAUUUUUAAUUUUUUAAAGUUUAUUUUGAGAGAGACAGAGUGUGAGUGGAGGAGGGGCAAAGAGAGAAGGAGAGCGAGAGUUGUCAGCACAGAGUCCAAUGCAGGGCUCAAACUCACAAAAUUGUGAGAUCAUGACUUGAGCUGAAACGAAGAGUCGGAUGAUUGAGCUGACCAGGCACCCCUUGAAACUAUAUAUAAUAUUAGCGGAAUCUUGCAAUAGGAUUUCUACAUACCACAUCAUCUUUGCUUUCAUUCUUAAAUGAAGUUUCUGUCUCCAUAGGAGCAUCACUGUGAUCCCCGUCUACAUUUUGCUUCUCAAUUACUGAUGCACUGGCCACACUGAAGAUUCCAUGGAUGUUAACACGAACUUUAACCUUCACUUUGGAACUAUCACCAUCAGACUGCGGAAAGACAUUCUGAAUAGUGAAGCUCCCUUCAGGAAAAAAGAGCUUUUAUCAGCACAUGGGCCUCUGAUUAACUUAUUCAAUUCAUUCAUUCAAUAAUUUGACUAUUAUCAUUUUGAUGCUGGCAAAUAAUCACAAAAUUAUCAUCACAUCCAGAUUAAUUACUGUGAGAAAGGCACUGAUCCUAGAUCACUUUUUUUUUUUUUACAGCUUAAUAAACUUAAUACUAAGUUUCAGAAAAGGUUAAGCAGCCUGCCCAAAAUCUUUAAUGCAAGGACAAAGACAGAUACACAUACAGGGAGAAUGUCAUGUGAACAUGAAGAUGGCCAGCCAUCCACAAACCAAGGAGAGAAGCCUGGAACAGAUCCUUCCCUCACAGCCCUCAGAAGGAACCCUGUCAACACUUUGAUUUCAUACUUGAAGCUUCUAGAACUGUAAACAAUAAAUUCUACUGUUUAAGCCA